rnacentral:rRNA from 1 species
GUAGGUGGCAAGCGUUGUCCGGGAAUUAUUGGGGCGUAAAGCGCGCGCAGGCGGUUCUUUAAGUCUGAUGUGAAAGCCCACGGGCUCAACCGUGGAGGGUCAUUGGAAACUGGAGAACUUGAGUACAGAAGAGGAAAGCGGAAUUCCACGUGUAGCGGUGAAAUGCGUAGAGAUGUGGAGGAACACCAGUGGCGAAGGCGGCUUUCUGGUCUGUAACUGACGCUGAGGCGCGAAAGCGUGGGGAGCAAACAGGAUUAGAUACCCUGGUAGUCCACGCCGUAAACGAUGAGUGCUAAGUGUUAGGGGGUUUCCGCCCCUUAGUGCUGCAGCAAACGCAUUAAGCACUCCGCCUGGGGAGUACGGCCGCAAAGGCUG